ensembl:antisense Gm10535 uncharacterized LOC110294484
GGCCACACUGAAGACAUCCACUGUGCGCUCGGUCCCUGCUUGCUGUAGCAACUGUUCCAUAGCCAAGAAGGUGCCCAGCUGGGCCAACUGCUCCUGAGAAUGAUGACCUGAGAAAAGAUGAGGGGGAUGAAGUUGCCAGGGGUCUCACAUUCGGCAUUUGCUCCACCCCAGUGUGAGACUCACAGGAGGUGAUGCUGUUCUGAUUAUAGUCAGGAGGGGGCAGCAGAGAGCCAGUCUCAUCCUUGAUGGCCUGCUUCAGGAGCUGGGAAAGAGAUGGAUGGACAAGGUGAUUCUCAGAAUCCCUUACCAACUCCCAACUUGCCCACCUGCCCCAAGAUCAGGAAGGAGGGCACUCCUGCGAGGAGGACAUAUGCCACCUGGUGGUGAUUCUGGGAAGCUGCAGGGCACUCACCCGCCCGUUCUCCAUGCCCACAGUUAGCAUGAUGAUCACGUGGACUUGCUGCUCCCACACCAGCCGCCAGAAGUCCUCGAGCGUCUUUUUGAGAGGCCCCUGGGUGGCAAUGAUCUCCUGCGGGUGGCUAUAUCCCUAAGGUGUGGGUGCAGGGUAGGGGCAUGUUACCAGAGAGUGUCUUGGCCAGCCGGGCCCAUCAAACAUUCAGCAGUGGUUAUGAUUAUCUAUGACCUACGGGAACUGUGGUCCUGGAGGGUGACCUGAAGGACACUGCCACCACCCACGUCCCACUGGGAAAGGGUGAGAAAAACAUGCAUGGGAAUGUAAGAUUCCCGACAUGCUAGAAACAGUCUACCCAGCCACCUCCCCACUAACCCUGGAGUAACUUUGUUUUCUAGAGGCAGUGAUUUAUGAUGUACCCCAGGCUGUCCUCGAACUCCCAAUUCUCUUGACUCAGUUUCCCAUAUGCUGGAAUUACAGGUGUCUGCCGUC